rnacentral:tRNA from 1 species
AUGUAGCUCAGUGGUAGAGUGCUUGCCUAGUAUGCUAGAGGCCCUGGGUUUUAUCCCCAGCAU